ACUUUGCAAUGGCGGCUCCUCCUGCUUGAAGAAUCAGGAAGUUAUUUACGGAAGAGUAUUUUGGCGGGAGGCGCGCAGGAAGUAAUUAUGUCGCUACCCUACUUGGAAGGCCAUUAAGCUACAAUGUAGCCUAUACUCACAAUACUUGCGUCUGCUACUUCCUCCUAAUCUUUUUGACGGAAAAUAGAUGAUAUUUAACCGCUUAGUUACCAGAAAAGGUUGUUUAUUUAUUUAUUUGUUCUACUGUCAGCUGUGAGUGGCCUUUGGGACUUUCUUAUGGAGCAAGGAAAUGGUAAAACUAUUGCCUCAGCUGAAUGGGGAGUUGACUGCAAGUUUCAGAGUGCUUUGUAUGCUGAAGACAAAAAGGGUUUAGGGAGAUGCAGUAGCUGGGGGCGGCAGUAGCUUAGUCUGAAGGGACUAGGGUUGGGAACCGGAAGGCCGCUGGUUCAAGUCCUGGUGCAGACCAUCAUGUGGAAGUUGGUCUGGUAGCUGGAGAGAGGCCAGGGCACUUCCCAAGUACUCCCAAAGUGCCCUUGAAGAAGGCACGGAACCCCCAAAAGCUCUGUGAGUCAUCCUUCGAAGGUCAGCAAAUGGCAACCCUGUUUACUGAGCUUUCGUGCCAACCAAGACUUCUGGAUCUUGGCUUCCACUCCAGACCUCGUGGUUUAGAAGUCUGCAUGGCAGGACCAGAGGGCAGCUGCGUGGAGUCUUGCAUCAGGC